CCUACGGGUGGCAGCAGUGGGGGAUAUUGCACAAUGGAGGAGACCCUGAUGCAGCGACGCCGCGUGAGUGAAGACGUAUCUCGGUAUGGAAAGCUCUAUCAGCAUGGAAGUAAAUGACAGUACCUGACCAAGAAGCUCCGGCUAACUACGUUCCAGCAGCCGCGGUAAUACGGAGGGUGCAAGCGUUAUCCGGAUUUACUGGGUGUAAAGGGAGCGUAGACGGUUAGGUAAGUCUGGAGUGAAAGCUCGGGGCCCAACCGCGGGACUGCUUUGGAAACUGUGUAACUGGAGUACAGGAGGGGCAGGCGGAAUUCCUGGUGUAGCGGUGAAAUGCGUAGAUAUCAGGAGGAACACCGGCGGCGAAGGCGGCUUGCUGGACUGAAACUGACGCUGAGGCUCGAAAGCGUGGGGAGCAAACAGGAUUAGAUACCCGGGUAGUC
rnacentral:rRNA from 1 species